rnacentral:rRNA from 1 species
GCGCUGAAACCGGAGCUUGCUUUGGUGGAUGAGUGGCGAACGGGUGAGUAACACGUGGGUGAUCUGCCCUACACUUUGGGAUAAGCCUGGGAAACUGGGUCUAAUACCGAAUAUUCACACCACCGUAGGGGUGGUGUGGAAAGCUUUAUGCGGUGUGGGAUGAGCCUGCGGCCUAUCAGCUUGUUGGUGGGGUAAUGGCCUACCAAGGCGUCGACGGGUAGCCGGCCUGAGAGGGUGUACGGCCACAUUGGGACUGAGACACGGCCCAGACUCCUACGGGAGGCAGCAGUGGGGAAUAUUGCACAAUGGGCGCAAGCCUGAUGCAGCGACGCCGCGUGGGGGAUGAAGGCCUUCGGGUUGUAAACUCCUUUCGCUAGGGACGAAGCCUUAUGGUGACGGUACCUGGAGAAGAAGCACCGGCUAACUACGUGCCAGCAGCCGCGGUAAUACGUAGGGUGCGAGCGUUGUCCGGAAUUACUGGGCGUAAAGAGCUCGUAGGUGGUUUGUCGCGUCGUCUGUGAAAUCCCGGGGCUUAACUUCGGGCGUGCAGGCGAUACGGGCAUAACUUGAGUGCUGUAGGGGAGACUGGAAUUCCUGGUGUAGCGGUGAAAUGCGCAGAUAUCAGGAGGAACACCAAUGGCGAAGGCAGGUCUCUGGGCAGUAACUGACG